GACGAACGCUGGCGUCGUGCUUAACAUAUGCAAGUCGAACGGAAAGGCUCUGCUUUUGUGGGGUGCUCGAGUGUCGAACGGGUGAGUAUCACGUGAGUAACCUGCCCUUGACUUUUGUAUAACUUCAUGAAACUGUGGCUAAUACCGGAUAGGCGCUCCUGCUGCAUGGUGUGCGUUGGAAAGUUUCGGCGGUUGGGGAUGGACUCGCGGCUUAUCAGCUUGUUGGUGGGGUAGUGGCUUACCAAGGCUUUGACGGGUAGCCGGCCUGAGAGGGUGACCGGCCACAUUGGGACUGAGAUACGGCCCAGACUCCUACGGGAGGCAGCAGUGGGGAAUAUUGCACAAUGGGCGGAAGCCUGAUGCAGCAACGCCGCGUGCGGGAUGACGGCCUUCGGGUUGUAAACCGCUUUCGCCUGUGACGAAGCGUGAGUGACGGUAAUGGGUAAAGAAGCACCGGCUAACUACGUG
rnacentral:rRNA from 1 species